AUCACUUCUCGGCCUUUUGGCUAAGAUCAAGUGUAGUAAAAAGAUAGCAUGACUUGGAACAAUAAAGGGAGGCCCAUUCCCCAAAACAAAGCAUCCUCAUGCGAUUUGUAUUAGUUAAUUUUAGGAUAAGUCUGUUGUAUUUUCUAGUAUAGCAAAUUUUGUCAAAUUUUAUGUAUUUUAAAAUAAUGAUAAUAGAGGA